AUAGUCGCGACGUAGUUGAUCAGUGGCNCAGGACACGCUGGCGGCGUGCCUAACACAUGCAAGUCGAACGGAGUUAAGACUUCGGUUUUAACUUAGUGGGCGAACGGGUGAGUAACGCGUGAGAAACCUGCCUUUCAGUGGGGGACAACAGUUGGAAACGACUGCUAAUACCGCAUAAUGUAUCGAGGGGGCAUCCUCUUGAUACCAAAGAUUUAUUGCUGAAAGAUGGUCUCGCGUCUGAUUAGCUAGAUGGCGGGGUAACGGCCCACCAUGGCGACGAUCAGUAGCCGGUCUGAGAGGAUGAACGGCCACAUUGGGACUGAGAUACGGCCCAGACUCCUACGGGAGGCAGCAGUGGGGAAUAUUGGGCAAUGGGGGAAACCCUGACCCAGCAACGCCGCGUGAAGGAAGAAGGCCUUCGGGUUGUAAACUUCUUUUAGCAGGGACGAAGGACGUGACGGUACCUGCAGAAAAAGCAACGGCUAACUACGUG
rnacentral:rRNA from 1 species